rnacentral:rRNA from 1 species
GACGAACGCUGGCGGCGUGCUUAACACAUGCAAGUCGAACGGUGAAGGGGUCUGCUUUUGUGGGCCCUGGAUGAGUGGCGAACGGGUGAGUAACACGUGAGUAACCUGCCCCCUUCUUCUGGAUAACCGCAUGAAAGUGUGGCUAAUACGGGAUAUUCUGGGUCUGUCGCAUGAUGGGUCUGGGAAAGAUUGCGCCUUUGGGUGUUUUUGGUGGGGGAUGGGCUCGCGGCCUAUCAGCUUGUUGGUGGGGUGAUGGCCUACCAAGGAGGUGACGGGUAGCCGGCCGGAGAGGGGGGACGGUCACACUGGGACUGAGACACGGCCCAGACUCCUACGGGAGGCAGCAGUGGGGAAUAUUGCACAAGGGGCGCAAGCCUGAUGCAGCGACGCCGCGUGAGGGAUGGAGGCCUUCGGGUUGUAAACCUCUUUCGCCAGUGAAGCAGGCCUGCUCCUUGUGGGUGGGUUGACGGUAGCUGGAUAAGAAGCGCCGGCUAACUACGUG